CAGCCGCCGCGGGAAUACGAAGGGGGCUAGCGUUGUUCGGAAUUACUGGGCGUAAAGCGCACGUAGGCGGACAUUUAAGUCAGGGGUGAAAUCACGGGGCUCAACCCCGGAACUGCCUUUGAUACUGGGUGUCUAGAGUAUGGAAGAGGUGAGUGGAAUUCCGAGUGUAGAGGUGAAAUUCGUAGAUAUUCGGAGGAACACCAGUGGCGAAGGCGGCUCACUGGUCCAUUACUGACGCUGAGGUGCGAAAGCGUGGGGAGCAAACAGGAUUAGAGACCCCCGUAGUCCCUGUCUCUUAUAC
rnacentral:rRNA from 1 species